AGCUGCCCCCACCUCUUUCCUCUCUUGAACAAAAACCCAUUCUCUCUCCAGCCAUGGCAGAAGCUUGCCUUCCCAAUUUGGAGUAAGCUUCUUAUCUCUCUUACUUUUAUCUAUUCAAGAAUUGGUCAACACAAGGGGCCAAAGUACUUUUAGAUUUUGAUUUUCUAUGGCAGAGACUUAAUUUUCAAACGGCUCUUUUGAAGACCAAAAUCCCAACCCGUGACUCCUCUGAUUUUGGAUUUGAAUUUCAAAUCAAAACCCUAGUUGUUUCACCUAUAAAUAUACCUCUAUAAGUCUCAUCCGUAUCCAUCUGGGAAUUCCAAAAACAAAACUCAGUUCAUAUCAUACUCUGCUUUUCUUUAAAAUCUCAAGCUUUACAAUCUGUGGAAAACCUUUUAGUCUCCAUUUUUACAUUCUCGACAACUAAAGAGUGGUAGGUCUGAGCCCUCAAAGUCCCAGUUUCACUGCCCAACAAGAGAUCCAGGUGUAUUUGAUCAUGGAGGCCAUUAAGUUCGUGCGCGAUCGAGUAUCAGAGACUACGAGAUGGUGAGGAAUCAUACUACGGGGCAGGACGGACAACCACCAAUACCUCCAGCCAGGCCGCGAGAGGCCGAGGUCGUGGUAGAGACCACGGUAGGGGCAAAGGUGCAGCCUGCACAACAGCUGGGGCAGUACCUGCAGAUCCACCAGUUGCCCUAGUUCAGGAGCAGGCACCAGUUGUGGAUGAGCCUAUGGGACCAGAUCAGGCACCACCUAUGCCUAUUGUGACUCCACGCCUUCAGGAGGCCUUAGCUCAGAUUUUGACCGCGCGUACUAGUCUUGCUCAGGCGGUCUCUAUUUCGGCCGCAGCAGCCACUUCUCAGGCCGGGGAAGGCGUUUAGACUCCCGCCGCCCGCACACCAAAGCAGGUGGUACAUGUAUUCCAGACAACGGGGCACCACUAGCCCAGCCGGUUGCCGCUGCUUAGGAUUAUAUGGUUCCUGCUAUGCCCGAGGGUGAGCAGCGUAGAU